UGGGGAAUCUUGGACAAUGGGCGCAAGCCUGAUCCAGCCAUGCCGCGUGAGUGAUGAAGGCCCUAGGGUUGUAAAACUCUUUCGUGGGGGACGAUAAUGACGGUACCCCAAGAAGAAGCUCCGGCUAACUUCGUGCCAGCAGCCGCGGUAAUACGAAGGGGGCUAGCGUUGUUCGGAUUUACUGGGCGUAAAGCGCGUGUAGGCGGGUCGUUAAGUUGGGGGUGAAAUCCCGGAGCUCAACUCCGGAACUGCCUUCAAAACUGGCGACCUGGACUCAAGCAGAGGCAAGUGGAAUUGCGAGUGUAGAGGUGAAAUUCGUAGAUAUUCGCAGGAACACCAGUGGCGAAGGCGACUUGCUGGGCUUGUAGUGACGCUGAGACGCGAAAGCGUGGGGAGCAAACA
rnacentral:rRNA from 1 species